rnacentral:antisense_RNA from 1 species
GUGGGAGGGGGCUUGCCCCCGAUGGCGGUAUGUCAGUCAGCUUGUCUUUAACUGAUCUACCGCUAUCGGGAGCAAGCCCCCUCCCAC